AACGAACGCUGGCGGCAUGCCUAACACAUGCAAGUCGAACGAGACCUUCGGGUCUAGUGGCGCACGGGUGCGUAACGCGUGGGAACCUGCCCUUAGGUUCGGAAUCACUCCCCGAAAGGGGUGCUAAUACCGGAUAAUGUCUUCGGACCAAAGAUUUAUCGCCUUUGGAUGGGCCCGCGUUGGAUUAGCUAGUUGGUAGGGUAAAAGCCUACCAAGGCGACGAUCAAUAGCUGGUCUGAGAGGAUGAUCAGCCACACUGGGACUGAGACACGGCCCAGACUCCUACGGGAGGCAGCAGUGGGGAAUAUUGGACAGUGGGCGAAAGCCUGAUCCAGCAAUGCCGCGUGAGUGAUGAAGGCCUUAGUGUUGUAAAGCUCUUUUACCCGUGAUGAUAAUGACAGUACCGGGAGAAUAAGCGCCGGCUAACUCCGUG
rnacentral:rRNA from 1 species